rnacentral:lncRNA from 1 species
UGAGGGCCUUGGGACACUAAUGAAACAAUAACAAUAUCUAAUAUCUGGUGGAUUGUCUUCUGCAGGAAUAAUGAAUAUGACUAACCCAUUUCUAGAAUCUGCAGCAUCACUAAAACUCUGAAUCACAUUGGCCUGUGCAUCAAGUUUCAGGAAAACAUGAUGAGGUAAAUAGAGAAACUUUCAUGGAUAUUAGAUGGCAGUUACACAUACAACAUUAUUAUUCUAUCAUAGCCUAAAUAAUUGGAUUAAAGUUUAGCCCUUUUGGAAGAAGAAUAGGGAUGAUAGUAGGAUUGAUUUCUGAUGUUAGAACUACUAAUCUUAAAGUUGUUGACUGCCCUUUAAUAACAACCCACACCUUCGCUAUGGAAAACAUAUAUUUGUUACCACAUAGUAAUAAAAAUGGUGUGCUUUAAACAUGGUUGCUGCAAAACACAUAAACGGAGAUUGCACUGAGACACACAUAUAUGAAUUGUGCACAUUGGUCUCGGGCUACAAUUUGAGUGCAUGCGUUGCUUACGAUGAACUGCUGAAACUCUUGCUUUCUCUCUAUUCUGAUGAUAGAAGCAAUGGCACAUAGCUCACACUCCACUUUUAUUUGUGUUAUUGUGAUAUUUUUCUUUUCAUCGAAAUCUUGACUUUGGACAUAUUUGUUGUUUUUUUAUAUUGGUGCGACCUUGUCCGCCUUAUAUUGUUUGGUGAUUACAAUAUAAAUUCCCCAGAUAGUGCAAAAGUGGACAGUUUAGCCAUUGAAUAGUAAUUAUUCUACUGAAUUGCAAUGAAACACUCUUCGUACUUCUUGGACUACUACAUGGCAUGAUCCUGAGCGUUAUUACCUUGCUGCUGCCUCAUGGAAUUUCUUGUGCGCCACACUGCAUGAUCCUGAGGUUAGCCUCAACAUAGUUUUAUGAUUUUCUUUUUUGUGCCUUUGGAGCUCUUGUUUUUUUAUGCUUUUAUUUUCCAUGUUUCGCAAACGAUCAACCCAAAUAGGUAAUUUUUGUUUUACUGCUUUAGGAGUACUCGCUAUGUGUCAACGGAUAACUGAAGUCUGGUUGCGUCUAUGAACACUUGGAGAUUUUGUAGUACUUUUUCCCAGGAGAUAAGCUAGCAUGAGUAAUAGAUGACCAACAGUAACUAAUUGCAUUUUUUGCUUGAUGGCCUUAUUGUCUUGUAGGAAGGCCUCUGCACCCCCUCCCGACAAUUGACACGCUGCAUCUCACCUGGCCACCCCGCAUCCCCUUCUAAGAUUGCUUCUCCCAUUGAGAGUGAAACUGUUCUAUGAAAUUUGAGAUGUAUAUACAUUCAGAUGAAUGCAGUUUCAUCCAUUG